AUGCCCCGCGCCGCCCCCCGGUGGCCGCUGCUUCUGCUGCUGCUGCUGCUGCUGCUGCUGCCGCCGCCGCUCGCCCACGGCGCCCCGGCCCGGCCCGGAGGCAGGAGGCCGGCCUCCACGCUCGUGGUGCCCAAGCGGUUGCAGAGCAUCGCCGGGGAGGUCGCGCUCCACCUGUCCGCCUUCGGCCGCGACUUGGAGCUGCGCCUGGAGCCCGACGACAGCUUCCUGGCGCCCGAAUUCAAGAUCGCGCGCCUCGGGGGCUCCAGCGGGGCGGCCGGGAGCGAGAGGGAGCUGCGCGGCUGCAUCUUCUCGGGCACGGUGAACCGGGAUCCCGCGUCGCUGGCGGCCGUCAGCCUCUGCCGCGGGCUGAGCGGCACCUUCCUGCUGGAAGGCCAGGAGUUCACCAUCAAGCCCCAAGGCGCUGGGCGCUCCCUGCAUCAGCCACACCUCCUGCAGCGCUGGGGGCACGUGCACCCCGCCACUGCAGCGCAGUCCCUGUCCAGAGCGUCUGAGAGGGAGGCGCAGAAGGGAGAGGGUGAGAGGCAGGAGAGAAGAGCCGACCAGGAGGACGACGAGGAGGGCCAAGAAGAGGAGGCAGAAAGUUCCAGCGAGCCACCACCAACCCUGGAGGCCAAGAGCAGGACCAAACGGUUUGUGUCGGAGGACCGCUUCGUGGAAAUGCUGCUGGUGGCGGAUGCAUCCAUGGUUGCUUUCUACGGAGAGGACCUAGAGAGCCACAUCCUGAUGCUGAUGUCCAUGGCCGCCCGCAUCUACAAGCACCCCAGCAUCGGUAACUCCGUCAACCUAGUGAUGAUAAAGUUGGUGAUCAUGGGGGACGAGAAGCUGGGCCCCGAGGUGUCAGACAACAGCGGGCUGAUACUGCGCGACUUCUGCGCCUGGCAGCGGGACGUCAACCAGCCCAGAGACCGGCACCCCGAGCACUUCGACACGGCCGUCCUGCUCACCAGAGAGAACCUUUGCGGGCAGGAGGGCAGGUGCGACACCCUGGGCGUGGCCAACGUUGGCACCAUCUGUGAACCCAGCAAGAGCUGCGCCGUGAUCCAGGACCAGGGCCUGCAGGCGGCCUACACUCUGGCCCAUGAGCUCGGGCACGUCCUUGGCAUGCCCCACGAUGACUCCAAGCUUUGUACUCGGCUGUUCGGGCCCCUGGACAAGCACCACAUGAUGGCGCCGCUCUACGUCCAGCUGAACAAAACACGGCCCUGGUCCCCCUGCAGCGCCUCAUUCCUCAGAGAGUUCCUGGACCGCGGGUACGGGGACUGCCUUCUAGACGCCCCCUCCUGGGCCAUGGCCCUGCCCACAGACCUCCCCGGCCGCAGGGCCCUCUACGACCUGGACCAACAGUGCAAGCAGAUCUUUGGGCUGGGCUUCCGCCACUGCCCCAACUCCUCCGACCAGAACACCUGCGCGCAGCUCUGGUGCCGCAUUGAUGGCCCCGACCCCCUUUGCCACACGAGGAAUGCCAGCCUGCCCUGGGCCGAUGGGACACCCUGCGGGCCCGGGCACCUCUGCUGGGAGGGCAGCUGCCUGCCCAAGGAGGAAGUGGAGAAGCCCGAGGCUGUGGUGGAUGGAGGCUGGGCCCCGUGGGGACCCUGGGGUGCAUGUUCACGGACCUGCGGAGGAGGAGUACAGUUUUCAUACCGUGAGUGCACCAACCCCGAGCCUCAGAACGGAGGGAAGUACUGCCUGGGUCAGAGAGCCAAGUACCAGUCGUGCCACACCGAGGAGUGCCCCCCGGACGGGAAAAGCUUCAGGGAGCAGCAGUGUGAGAAGUUCAAUGCCUACAAUUACACAGACGUGGAGGGAAACCUACUGCAGUGGGUCCCCAAGUAUGCGGGGGUGUCCCCCCGGGACCGCUGCAAACUGUUCUGCCUAGCCAGGGGGCGGAGCGAGUUCAGAAUGUUUGAGGACAAGGUGAUCGAUGGCACCCUGUGCGGACCCGAUACUCUGGCCAUCUGUGUCCGUGGCCAGUGUGUCAAGGCUGGCUGUGAUCAUGUGUUGGACUCACCUAAGAAGCUGGACAAGUGUGGGGUGUGUGGGGGCAAAGGCGACUCAUGCAGGAAGGUGUCUGGCUCCUUCAGUCCCUCCAGUUAUGGCUACAAUGACAUUGUCACCUUCCCGGCUGGCUCCACAAACAUUGAUGUGAAACAGCGGAGUCCGCCGGGAGUUCAGAACGACGGCAACUACCUGGCCUUGAAGACCACAGAUGGCGAGUACCUGCUCAAUGGAAACAACGCCAUCUUUCCCACAGAACAGUACAUCCUGCUGAACGGGACUGUCCUCAGGUACAGCGGUGCCUUCACCUCCCUGGAGCGGCUGCAGAGCUUCCAGUCCUUGCCCCAGCCACUGACCUUACAGCUCCUGAAGGUCCAUGGGGAUCCCCUCAAGGUCAAAUAUACCUUCUUUGUCCCUGAUGAUGCGUACUCCAGCAAACAGAGCAGCAGAGAGAGGACAACCACCAAUGUCAUUCAGGCCCUGCUCAGCACGCAGUGGGUGCUGGGGGCCUGGUCUGAAUGCUCUCACAGCUGCGGGGCUGGCUGGCAGCGGCGGGCAGUGCAGUGCCGUGACCCCAGCGGCCAGACCUCUGCCGCCUGUGAUGAGGCUCUGAAGCCUGAGGAUACCAAGCUCUGCAGAAGCCUGCCCUGCUUCUCGUGA
rnacentral:lncRNA from 1 species